UUGAGAGAGAAACUCUCACUGAGCCUGGAACUAGGCUGGUGGCCAGCAAGCCUAAUUAUUCUUCUGUCUCCACCACCCCCACGCUGGUGAGGUUACAGGCAUGUGACCACUCAGGUUUUUUGGGUUUGUUGUUUUCUUUUGUUUUGUUUCAUCUUGUUUUUAAUGUAAGUACUGGGAAUUUGAACUCAGGUCCUUAUGACUGGACAGCAGGCUCUCACCCUCUGAGUCAUCUCCGCAGACCCAUUUCUUUCCUCCUCUUUAUUAACAUCCCCAAAUAGACCUAUGCGGUAUUUUGAUGAUCUCUCUUUAAGUGGAAUUGGCGUUGUUUCUAUAUGUGGGCUGUGAAUGAUGUUGCUACAUGAGAAGACUCCGAGCACUUCUUUAAGAUCCUGUUUUAAGUUCUUCUAUAAAUAUCUAGACUUUUUUUUUCUAGCUCUUGGAAUAAAACCACAGCUAGAUCUGAAGCCCUUUGUCCUGCAGAGGAGACAGUAAACUAAACAAGGAGGAAUGCAGGCUGUAGGGCAAGUUUCAGGAGAGAGUGAAGAUGUAAGAUGACCUGACUCCUUAUGUCUGUCGAGGUGACUUCUUCUGCUGACCAGAGCAGCGGCAGGCGAGAACUGAGUCUGAGGCUUGAUGAAGGAGAAGAGACAUCGCAGCUGAUGAGGGGAAUGCAGCCAGGAGACGGCAAGAUGUUAGCAGAGGACCUGGGCUGUGUGUCUCUAUCCCUGGAGGAGAAGGGUGAGAGCAGAGGACCUCCCCCUUUUGUUGGAGACAGUAUGCCGCAUGUAAUUUAGCUGCCUUUAAACUUGUUGUAUUGUCUAGAGUAACCCUGGUCUUCCCCCUCCCAGGGCUGGGGUGGUAGGCCUGCUCCAUCGUGCCUUGUUUAUGGGGUACUAAGGAUAGAACCCAGGGUCUUAUGCAUAGGAGGCAAGUACUCUUCCAACCGUACUAUAUCCUAAGCUCACUUAAAAUCUAGCUCAUUUGUGUGGGGAGGAAAGAAAGCGUGUGGUAAGUGUGCUUGGAAAUGAUCCUUAUAGAAAGCUAUGGACAUCUGCCAGGACCCAGCAGUAUUCACAGGGUCACAUAGUAGGGUCAGGGCUGCAGAGGACAGUGGGGGAAGAAUGGAUACUGAGAACGAGCUAGCUUUGUAAAUAGGUCAGAGGAUGUGGCAGGAGGCCAAGGAAGGAAAGGGCAGGCAGCUGAAUGCCGGAGAAGUGCUGAGGGCAGCACGCCUGAAGACUAGCUCCUACAGGAGCUCCCUGGGAAACAAGGCGGGCACAGCCACGGCCCGGGCACCAUUAUCUGUUCCCUCAAGUCCUUCCCAGUGCCUCCUGUCACCCUGUCCUUGACAUGAUCCCUCUCUGUGCUCAGACUACUCAUUUUCCUAGACACUGGGAACGUUCUUCACUAUCAAGAUCUCCACGCUGCAUGCAAGUUCAGGAAGCAAAGGGCUCACUUUUGUUGACCUUGUUGACCUACAGUGACUGCCUGGCCCAAGACCUGCAGGUCUCAGGGAACCUCCUUGGUGACUCCACGGGCUGACUGCACUUCCUGCCCUCCGCUGUCCUAGCUCCUUAAACAGAUGUGGGCUGAAGUGAAACUGCCCAGGAGUCUCAUUUGAGCUCAUCUUUGAUCUGUUAUGAAGGAGACAUGUUAGAAGUCCUCCCACAGGCUGUUUAACCUAAGGAAACCACUGUUCUCCUGAGACAUUGACUAUCCAGAUGACAGUGCCCCACUGUGUGCCCCACAAAUGUACUGGCAAUCAGUGCUAGAUAACCACAGGAGUUGCAAAGCAGCACAACCCAAGGCCGUGAUUCCCAACGCUGCAGUCAUCACAAAAGUCAGGCCAGGGCUCCAGAAGGCACUGCACAAGCACACACGGUUAAGGCCGGUCACUUCCCACACGUCUGCCAGUCUGCCAUCACAGCUACACUGCAGCCAAGACGUCAGGGUCUGUAAGUUCAAGGUUGGUAUGAGCUACAGGGUGAGUUCAAGGCCAGCCUGGUAAUUCUGUAAUGUCCUGUUUCAAAAUAAAAGCAAAAUAGUUAUGGCAAUGUA